rnacentral:rRNA from 1 species
GAUGAACGCUGGCGGCGUGCCUAAUACAUGCAAGCCGAGCGAAUGGAUUAAGAGCUUGCUCUUAUGAAGUUAGCGGCGGACGGGUGAGUAACACGUGGGUAACCUGCCCAUAAGACUGGGAUAACUCCGGGAAACCGGGGCUAAUACCGGAUAACAUUUUGAACCGCAUGGUUCGAAAUUGAAAGGCGGCUUCGGCUGUCACUUAUGGAUGGACCCGCGUCGCAUUAGCUAGUUGGUGAGGUAACGGCUCACCAAGGCAACGAUGCGUAGCCGACCUGAGAGGGUGAUCGGCCAGACUGGGACUGAGACACGGCCCAGACUCCUACGGGAGGCAGCAGUAGGGAAUCUUCCGCUAUGGACGAAAGUCUGACGGAGCAACGCCGCGUGAGUGAUGAAGGCUUUCGGGUCGUAAAACUCUGUUGUUAGGGAAGAACAAGUGCUAGUUGAAUAAGCUGGCACCUUGACGGUACCUAACCAGAAAGCCACGGCUAACUACGUGCCAGCCGCCGCAGUAA